GGCUCAGAGCGAACGCUGGCGGCAGGCUUAACACAUGCAAGUCGAGCGGGCCCUUCGGGGUCAGCGGCGGACGGGUGAGUAACGCGUGGGAACGUGCCUUCUGGUCUGGAAUAACCCUGGGAAACUAGGGCUAAUACCGGAUACGCCCUUUUGGGGAAAGGUUUACUGCCGGAAGAUCGGCCCGCGUCUGAUUAGCUAGUUGGUGGGGUAACGGCCUACCAAGGCGACGAUCAGUAGCUGGUCUGAGAGGAUGAUCAGCCACACUGGGACUGAGACACGGCCCAGACUCCUACGGGAGGCAGCAGUGGGGAAUAUUGGACAAUGGGCGCAAGCCUGAUCCAGCCAUGCCGCGUGAGUGAUGAAGGCCUUAGGGUUGUAAAGCUCUUUUAUCCGGGACGAUAAUGACGGUACCGGAGGAAUAAGCCCCGGCUAACUUCGUGCCAGCAGCCGCGGUAAUACGAAGGGGGCUAGCGUUGCUCGGAAUCACUGGGCGUAAAGGGCGCGUAGGCGGCGUUUUAAGUCGGGGGUGAAAGCCUGUGGCUCAACCACAGAAUGGCCUUCGAUACUGGGACGCUUGAGUAUGGUAGAGGUUGGUGGAACUGCGAGUGUAGAGGUGAAAUUCGUAGAUAUUCGCAAGAACACCGGUGGCGAAGGCGGCCAACUGGACCAUUACUGACGCUGAGGCGCGAA
rnacentral:rRNA from 1 species